rnacentral:rRNA from 1 species
AUUGAACGCUGGCGGCAGGCCUAACACAUGCAAGUCGAGCGGAUGAAGGGAGCUUGCUCCUGGAUUCAGCGGCGGACGGGUGAGUAAUGCCUAGGAAUCUGCCUGGUAGUGGGGGAUAACGUCCGGAAACGGGCGCUAAUACCGCCUACGUCCUGAGGGAGAAAGUGGGGGAUCUUCGGACCUCACGCUAUCAGAUGAGCCUAGGUCGGAUUAGCUAGUUGGUGGGGUAAAGGCCUACCAAGGCGACGAUCCGUAACUGGUCUGAGAGGAUGAUCAGUCACACUGGAACUUAGACACGGUCCAGACUCCUACGGGAGGCAGCAGUGGGGAAUAUUGGGCAAUGGGCGAAAGCCUGAUCCAGCCAUGCCGCGUGUGUGAAGAAGGUCUUCGGAUUGUAAAGCACUUUAAGUUGGGAGGAAGGGCAGUAAGUUAAUACCUUGCUGUUUUGACGUUACCAACAGAAUAAGCACCGGCUAACUUCGUG